AACGAACGCUGGCGGCAUGCCUAACACAUGCAAGUCGAACGAGACCUUCGGGUCUAGUGGCGCACGGGUGCGUAACGCGUGGGAACCUGCCCUUAGGUUCGGAAUAACUCCCCGAAAGGGGUGCUAAUACCGGAUAAUGUCUUCGGACCAAAGAUUUAUCGCCUUUGGAUGGGCCCGCGUUGGAUUAGCUAGUUGGUAGGGUAAAAGCCUACCAAGGCGACGAUCCAUAGCUGGUAUGAGAGGAUGAUCAGCCACACUGGGACUGAGACACGGCCCAGACUCCUACGGGAGGCAGGAGUGGGGAAUAUUGGACAAUGGGCGAAAGCCUGAUCCAGCAAUGCCGCGUGAGUGAUGAAGGCCUUAGGGUUGUAAAGCUCUUUUACCCGGGAUGAUAAUGACAGUACCGGGAGAAUAAGCUCCGGCUAACUCCGUG
rnacentral:rRNA from 1 species